rnacentral:rRNA from 1 species
CCUACGGGCGGCAGCAGUGGGGAAUAUUGGACAAUGGGGGGAACCCUGAUCCAGCCAUGCCGCGUGUGUGAAGAAGGCCCUCGGGUUGUAAAGCACUUUCAGUGAGGAAGAACGCCUGGUGGUUAAUACCCAUCAGGAAAGACAUCACUCACAGAAGAAGCACCGGCUAACUCCGUGCCAGCAGCCGCGGUAAUACGGAGGGUGCGAGCGUUAAUCGGAAUUACUGGGCGUAAAGCGCGCGUAGGUGGCUUGAUAAGCCGGUUGUGAAAGCCCCGGGCUCAACCUGGGAACGGCAUCCGGAACUGUCAAGCUAGAGUGCAGGAGAGGAAGGUAGAAUUCCCGGUGUAGCGGUGAAAUGCGUAGAGAUCGGGAGGAAUACCAGUGGCGAAGGCGGCCUUCUGGACUGACACUGACACUGAGGUGCGAAAGCGUGGGUAGCAAACAGGAUUAGAUACCCUGGUAGUC